rnacentral:rRNA from 1 species
AUGCUGGCUGACUUGUGCAUGGUAUCAGACGGCGAUGGGCCCGAACCGGCACCACAGAGCGAAGAGCGCCGCGGCGAUGGCGGCUCUGCAGAUCGUGCCGGCUACUGCCCGGCAGCGGCUGCCGCCUGUGGCGACCGCGCCGGCGCCGGCGGUCUUCUCUUCUUCUUCUUCCUCAACUUUAAUGGGCAGCUCAUCCGCUGGCGUCUCGUGCUCCUCAUGACCGCUGCUGAUCUGCACCACGCCGUCGUCGUCCACGGUGGCCGCCUGCUCGCUGUCAUCGAUGACACGUUUUUUCUUAUUCUUCUUGCUCUUCUUGCCACGUUUUGCCCGCUUGGCGCCACCAGCGCCGUGGCCGGGGUCAUCGUCGCGGAGGGCAGCCCACAUGUUGGCGCCGCCGACCGUUGUGCCUCCCGCCACGGCCGCCGUGCUCGUCCGACUUGCCACCGUGGUGACCACGUCAAUGAACUCUUCUUUCUCUUCCUCUUUACUCGUCUCUUCUUCCGCUGCUUCUUCCUCUUGUUUACUGGUCGCCUCCUCUUCUUCUUCGAUCGGCGACACGGCCGCCGUCUCCUCCUCCUCGCGACCGUCGGUUACCUCCUCCUCGCCGUCCGGCACGGUGACGGUGGCCUGCUUGUUUUCCGCAGCAACGUCGGUCUGCACCUUGCUGCCGUCGUCCACGAUAGCAGCCGGCGCCGUCUCGUUCUCCUCGCGACCGUCGGUUACCUCCUCCUCGCCGUCCGGCACGGUGAUGGUGGCCUGCUUGUCUUCCGCGGCGCCGUUGGCCUGCACCCUGCGGCCGUCGUCCACGAUAGCAGCCGGCGCCGUCUCGUGCUGCUCGGCGGCGCUAGCAGUGGGUGGUGUCUCCUCUACGUCAACGACGCCGGCGACCUUUCCGUGCUCUCGGCCGUCGACGCCAUCGGCGCUGUGGCCAGGGCCAUUGUCACAGAGGAAAUCCCACAUGUCGGUCCCGCCGACUGUGAUGACUCCCGCCACGGCCGCCUUGACCGUCGGGCAGCGGACACCACCCACUAG